rnacentral:rRNA from 1 species
CACGUAGGGACCAAGCGUUGUCCGGAUUCAUUGGGCGUAAAGAGCUCGUAGGCGGCUCAGUAAGUCGGGUGUGAAACCUCCAGGCUCAACCUGGAGACGCCACCCGAUACUGCUGUGGCUAGAGUCCAGUAGGGGAGCGUGGAAUUCCUGGUGUAGCGGUGAAAUGCGCAGAUAUCAGGAGGAACACCAGCGGCGAAGGCGGCGCUCUGGGCUGGAACUGACGCUGAGGAGCGGAAAGCGUGGGGAGCGAACAGG